GACGAACGCUGGCGGCGUGCUUAACACAUGCAAGUCGAACGGAAAGGCCCCUUCGGGGGUACUCGAGUGGCGAACGGGUGAGUAACACGUGGGUGACCUGCCCUGCACUCUGGGAUAAGCCUGGGAAACUGGGUCUAAUACCGGAUAUACCCUUCUGGCCGCAUGGUUGGUUGGGAAAGCGUUAUGUAGCGGUGUGGGAUGGGCCCGCGGCCUAUCAGCUUGUUGGUGGGGUGAUGGCCUACCAAGGCGACGACGGGUAGCCGGCCUGAGAGGGUGACCGGCCACACUGGGACUGAGAUACGGCCCAGACUCCUACGGGAGGCAGCAGUGGGGAAUCUUGCGCAAUGCGCGAAAGCGUGACGCAGCAACGCCGCGUGGGGGAAGAAGGCCUUCGGGUUGUAAACCCCUUUCAGGAGGGA
rnacentral:rRNA from 1 species